rnacentral:rRNA from 1 species
AUGGCUACACGCUUGAACAAUCAGUUUCCGAGAGCUAAUUUUAUUGUUGAUCAACUAAAAUUUAGGGAGCAGCGGUUGAAGAAAGAAUAUUUCAUUGUCAAAUCUAUUGUAAAGAAGAGUGGCUUCGGUUUUGAUCCUAUUACAAAAAUGCCAACAACCAUUCCAGAAAAAUGGGAUGAAUUGAGCAAAGAACAACAGAAGUGGAGAUACAAAGCUUUCCCUUACUAUGAUGAUUUGCAUGCUGAUGGUUAG